rnacentral:rRNA from 1 species
AUGAGUCUAGCAGCCGAAUCGCCGUCGCCGUCCCCGUCGUCGUCGAGUGGCAGCGACGAUUUCGCUGCGCUCCUAGACGCGGAGCUGGAUCUCGCCUCUGCCGUCGACUCCGCCUCUGCGGGCGACCCCUCCACAUCACCCACAAGCAGCGACGACGAAGAGGACGACGACGAAGACGCGGUGGCCGAUGUAGAAACCGUGGAGCAGAGCAGUGCCAAAAGGCGUAAAGUGAAGGUGCAAUACCAAGAUCGAGAAACGGCAAUAAGGCCUGACGAAGACUCCAUUGGUUCAUCUGAAGAUGCUCAAAUCAAGAUAUGUCCUCCACAUCCUGGAUAUUUUGGUGGACUUUGCUUUAGGUGUGGGAAAAGACAAGACGAGGAAGAUGUUCCAGGGGUUGCUUUUGGUUAUGUCCACAAGGGUUUGAGGCUAGGUACAACAGAAAUUGACAGAUUGCGUGGAUCUGAUUUGAAGAAUUUGCUGCGCGAAAAAAAACUGAUACUUAUUUUAGACUUGGACCAUACACUUAUCAACUCGACAAAACUCCAUGAUAUUUCUGCUGCUGAAAAUAACCUGGGAAUUCAGAUUGCUGCAUCAAAAGACGAUCCAAAUGGAAGCUUGUUCACGUUAGAAGGAAUGCAGAUGCUUACAAAGUUGAGACCCUUUGUCCGUAAAUUUCUAAAAGAAGCAAGCAAUAUGUUUGAGAUGUAUAUAUACACCAUGGGCGACAAGGCUUAUGCAAUUGAAAUAGCAAAGCUUCUUGACCCUCGUAAUGUCUAUUUUAAUUCCAAAGUGAUUUCAAACUCUGACUGCACACAGCGACACCAGAAAGGUCUUGAUAUGGUUCUUGGAGCUGAAAGUGUUGCCGUGAUUCUUGAUGAUACUGAGUAUGUAUGGCAGAAGCAUAAAGAAAACCUAAUUCUGAUGGAGAGAUAUCAUUACUUUGCUUCAAGCUGUCGCCAGUUUGGUUUUAGCGUCAAAUCUCUGUCAGAGUUGAUGCAAGAUGAAAGGGGGAGUGAUGGUGCUUUGGCUACUAUCUUAGAUGUUCUGAAGCGUAUACACACGAUUUUCUUUGACUUGGCUGUUGAAACUGCUCUUUCUUCACGGGAUGUAAGACAGGUAAUCAAGAGGGUACGGCAGGAAGUACUGCAAGGCUGCAAAUUAGUCUUCAGUCGGGUGUUCCCGUCCAGUUCUCGCCCACAGGAUCAGUUUAUCUGGAAGAUGGCCGAGCAGCUGGGAGCCAUUUGCUCCGCGGACGUGGAUUCCACGAUCACCCAUGUUGUCGCUGUGGAUGUUGGAACAGAUAAGGCCCGUUGGGCAGUUAAGAACAAGAAGAUCCUGGUCCACCCCCGCUGGAUUGAAGCCUCGAAUUUCCGGUGGCACCGGCAGCAGGAGGAAGAUUUCCCGGUAAAGGUAAAGAAGAAUGAAAAGGAUAAGGAAAAUGACGUUGCUGCUGCCACUGAUGCAGCGAAUGGAAAGGUUAAAGAAGAUGAUGUUGCUGCUGCCGCCACUGAUCCAGCGAAUGAAAAGGAUAAAGAAGACGAUGUUGCUCCUGCUGCCACUGAUCCAGCGAACGAAAAGGAUAAAGAAAACGAUGUUGCUGCUGCUGUCACUGAUUCAACGAACUCAUAA